rnacentral:lncRNA from 1 species
GAAGCCACGUCUGCAUAGGAGAUCAAUAUGAUGUAAUUUUAUUCAUGUGAAGUUCCGACAACCUUUCUCUAACCACUCGCCAUAUAUAAUUAUUGUAAUUUAGUAAAUAAACAUUUAUUAUAUCUUCUCUAGUCACUCUUCUUCUUCUCCCCAACCAUCAUUCCUCAUCUCAUCUCAAAAAAAAAAAAAAAAAAAAAAUAUGAUGUCAGAGGGAAUUUAACACUCAGUUAUUCAUUAGCUUUGACUUGAAAACUCAAAUUGCUUCCAAAUUAGAGUUGAUUUUGAAAGUAUACAAGAUUUGUGAAUACACCCAGAUACAAAUCGAUUGGAGAACAAUUAGAUUAUAAGUGGAUCUCGCCAAACCUAGCUUCACAAAGACUACAACAAAACACAUAAACAUAUAAGGGUUUUAUCAAAU